AAGUCGUAACAAGGUUUCCGUAGGUGAACCUGCGGAAGGAUCAUUAACGAGUUUACUGAGUUGUCGCUGCCCUCUCGGGGGAUGUGCACGCUCUUUUUCACUCAUCUAUACACCUGUGCACCUAUGCGAGUCAAUGGGGGAUUAGCGAAAGAGACCUGCAAAGGUUUCGACUAGCGUUCUCUGUCGGCUCGAUUUUUUAUAAACUCUUGUAUGUCUUAGAAUGUCUACUUUGCUUAACGCAAUAAAUACAACUUUCAACAACGGAUCUCUUGGCUCUC
rnacentral:misc_RNA from 1 species